rnacentral:rRNA from 1 species
GACGAACGCUGGCGGCGUGCUUAACACAUGCAAGUCGAACGGUAAGGCCCUUCGGGGUACACGAGUGGCGAACGGGUGAGUAACACGUGGGUGGUCUGCCCUGCACUUCGGGAUAAGCCUGGGAAACUGGGUCUAAUACCGGAUAGGACUCCGGACUGCAUGGUCUGGGGUGGAAAGCUUUUGCGGUGUGGGAUGGGCCCGCGGCCUAUCAGCUUGUUGGUGGGGUGAUGGCCUACCAAGGCGACGACGGGUAGCCGGCCUGAGAGGGUGACCGGCCACACUGGGACUGAGAUACGGCCCAGACUCCUACGGGAGGCAGCAGUGGGGAAUAUUGCACAGUGGGCGCAAGCCUGAUGCAGCGACGCCGCGUGAGGGAUGACGGCCUUCGGGUUGUAAACCUCUUUCAGCACAGACGAAGCGCAAGUGACGGUAUGUGCAGAAGAAGGACCGGCCAACUACGUGCCAGCCGCCGCGGUAA